rnacentral:rRNA from 1 species
AGAGUUUGAUCCUGGCUCAGGAUGAACGCUGGCGGCGUGCUUAACACAUGCAAGUCGAACGAACCUUCAGGUUAGUGGCGGACGGGUGAGUAACGCGUGAGAAUCUGCCCUCAGGAGGGGGAUAACGGCUGGAAACGGCCGCUAAUACCCCAUAUGCCGAGAGGUGAAAUGAAUUUCGCCUGAGGAUGAGCUCGCGUCUGAUUAGCUAGUUGGUGGGGUAAAGGCCUACCAAGGCGACGAUCAGUAGCUGGUCUGAGAGGAUGAUCAGCCACACUGGGACUGAGACACGGCCCAGACUCCUACGGGAGGCAGCAGUGGGGAAUUUUCCGCAAUGGGCGAAAGCCUGACGGAGCAACGCCGCGUGAGGGAUGAAGGCCUCUGGGCUGUAAACCUCUUUUAUCAAGGAAGAAGAUCUGACGGUACUUGAUGAAUAAGCCACGGCUAAUUCCGUGCCAGCAGCCGCGGUAAUACGGGAGUGGCAAGCGUUAUCCGGAAUUAUUGGGCGUAAAGCGUCCGCAGGCGGUCUUGAAAGUCUGUUGUUAAAGCGUGGAGCUUAACUCCAUUUCAGCAAUGGAAACUACAAGACUAGAGUGUGGUAGGGGCAGAGGGAAUUCCCGGUGUAGCGGUGAAAUGCGUAGAUAUCGGGAAGAACACCAGUGGCGAAGGCGCUCUGCUGGGCCAUAACUGACGCUCAUGGACGAAAGCCAGGGGAGCGAAAGGGAUUAGAUACCCCUGUAGUCCUGGCCGUAAACGAUGAACACUAGGUGUCGGGGGAAUCGACCCCCUCGGUGUCGUAGCCAACGCGUUAAGUGUUCCGCCUGGGGAGUACGCACGCAAGUGUGAAACUCAAAGGAAUUGACGGGGGCCCGCACAAGCGGUGGAGUAUGUGGUUUAAUUCGAUGCAACGCGAAGAACCUUACCAGGGUUUGACAUCCUGCGAAUCCCUUGGAAACUUGGGAGUGCCUUCGGGAACGCAGUGAC